rnacentral:rRNA from 1 species
GAUGAACGCUGGCGGCGUGCCUAAUACAUGCAAGUCGAGCGAACAGACGAGGAGCUUGCUCCUCUGACGUUAGCGGCGGACGGGUGAGUAACACGUGGAUAACCGACCUAUAAGACUGGGAUAACUUCGGGAAACCGGAGCUAAUACCGGAUAAUAUAUUGAACCGCAUGGUUCAAUAGUGAAAGCCGGUUUUGCUGUCACUUAUAGAUGGAUCCGCGUCGCAUUAGCUAGUUGGUAAGGUAACGGCUUACCAAGGCAACGAUGCGUAGCCGACCUGAGAGGGUGAUCGGCCACACUGGAACUGAGACACGGUCCAGACUCCUACGGGAGGCAGCAGUAGGGAAUCUUCCGCAAUGGGCAAAAGCCUGACGGAGCAACGCCGCGUGAGUGAUGAAGGUCUUCGGAUCGUAAAACUCUGUUAUUAGGGAAGAACAAAUGUGUAAGUAACUAUGCACGUCUUGACGGUACCUAAUCAGAAAGCCACGGCUAACUACGUG